rnacentral:rRNA from 1 species
CCUACGGGUGGCUGCAGUGAGGAAUAUUGGUCAAUGGGCGAAAGCCUGAACCAGCCAUGCCGCGUGCAGGUAGACGGCCCUAUGGGUUGUAAACUGCUUUUAUACAGGAAGAAAUCCCUUAAUGUAUUGAGGGUUGACGGUACUGUACGAAUAAGGAUCGGCUAACUCCGUGCCAGCAGCCGCGGUAAUACGGAGGAUCCAAGCGUUAUCCGGAUUUAUUGGGUUUAAAGGGUGCGUAGGCGGGGUAGUAAGUCAGUGGUGAAAUCCUACAGCUCAACUGUAGAACUGCCAUUGAUACUGCUAUUCUUGAGUAUAGUUGAGGUGGGCGGAAUGUGUAAUGUAGCGGUGAAAUGCAUAGAUAUUACACAGAACACCGAUUGCGUAGGCAGCUCACUAGACUACUACUGACGCUGAGGCACGAAAGCGUGGGGAGCGAACAGGAUUAGAUACCCUGGUAGUC